CAACAUUUUCAUUUUGGGGUGGAGUAACCCUUUAAUGGAUAAAGUCAAUCGGGAUUUGAGUUUAGACAUAACAGUUUCAUCUCUGAUUCUGUGCUGUAUGUAAACAGGUAGACACUCCCUGGAUAAAACACUGGAUCUCCACACAUAAUUUCUCAUCUAGAAGUAAUUCAGCAUACAUCAUACCUGGGAGUCGUUUAGUCACUGUGGGUGGAGUUUUCCAAGUAGGAAACUGGAAUCUGCAGAACAGUUCUGUGGACCAUAAAAACAUCUGGGAAGCUGCCUGCAAGCUUGUGCCCAGUGUACAGCAUGCGCAGCUAGUAGAGAACUGGAGUGGUCUCAGACCCGAACGCAGCAAAGUUAGACUGGAGAGAGACCAAACGAUCUGGACCAACCUUUGAGGUCAUUCGUAAUUAUGGAUAUGGAGGUUUUGGACUGACCAUCCAUCGUGGAUGUGCUGACGAAGCUGCUCAUCUCUUUAAUCAGAUUCUUGAGCAGAAAGGCCUGCUAGCACACUCUAAAUCACGUCUCUAAAAGAUUAUCUGGACAAUGUUAGCCAUAAAUUCAUCAGGCAUCAGCAAUAUUCUCCUUAAACCCAUAACCAUAUCAUACUGAUUCCAAAAGGAACUCAUGGAUUUCAUGAGUUUAGGAAUGUAUUCUAAACUACUGGAAUGUAAAUGUUCAUAUAUUAAUUUUUAUUACUCUUUUAUAGAGUUUUGAAAUAAAAGAUAACACAUAACAGAACUGAUUUUUCAGAAUGUUGCUCAAAUGUACAAUAAAGAAUCAAAUGCUGACAUGUUUUAUUUAUGCUUUUAUCUAAUGCUUUUUUAAAUUAAGCUUUAUUGUUAUCAUACAUAUGUACAUCACAUGUAGUGGCAAGGGAUCCCAUCCCCACUCUUUGACUGUCUGAACACAAUAUUCAAAGCAGUGGUGUUCUGAA